CCUACGGGAGGCAGCAGUCGAGAAUCAUUCACAAUGGGGGAAACCCUGAUGGUGCGACGCCGCGUGGGGGAAUGAAGGUCUUCGGAUUGUAAACCCCUGUCAUGUGGGAGCAAAUUAAAAAGAUAGUACCACAAGAGGAAGAGACGGCUAACUCUGUGCCAGCAGCCGCGGUAAUACAGAGGUCUCAAGUGUUGUUCGGAAUCACUGGGCGUAAAGCGUGCGUAGGCUGUUUCGUAAGUAGUGUGUGAAAGGUGCGGGCUCAACCCGCGGACGGCACAUGAUACUGCGAGACUAGAGUAAUGGAGGGGGAACCGGAAUUCUCGGUGUAGCAGUGAAAUGCGUAGAUAUCGGGAGGAACACUCGUGGCGAAGGCGGGUUCCUGGACAUUAACUGACGCUGAGGCACGAAGGCCAGGGGAGCGAAAGGGAUUAGAUACCCGAGUAGUC
rnacentral:rRNA from 1 species